rnacentral:rRNA from 1 species
AUUGAACGCUGGCGACAGGCCUAACACAUGCAAGUCGAGCGAGCGGCGGACGGGUGAGUAAUGUCUGGGAAACUGCCUGAUGUAGGGGGAUAACUACUGGAAACGGUAUCUAAUACCGCAUACCAUCAGAUGUGCCCAGAUGGGAUUAGCUAGUAGGUGGGGUAACGGCUCACCUAGGCGACGAUCCCUAGCUGGUCUGAGAGGAUGACCAGCCAAACUGGAACUGAGACACGGUCCAGACGCCUACGGGAGGCAGCAGUGGGGAAUAUUGCACAAUGGGCGCAAGCCUGAUGCAGCCAUGCCGCGUGUAUGAAGAAGGCCUUCGGGUUGUAAAGUACUGUCAGCGGGGAGGCGUUACCCGCAGAAGAAGCACCGGCUAACUCCGUGCCAGCAGCCGCGGUAAUUC